rnacentral:snoRNA from 2 species
GGGCUGUGAUUAUAAUUGGCUUUAGCGAUGGUUGGGUCCACCGCAUUCUUCUGAUCAUUUGGAUGAGAUUAGCCGCACCCUGAGCUC